rnacentral:rRNA from 1 species
GUGGAUUAGAUACCCUGGUAGUCCACGCCGUAAACGAUGGAUACUUGUUGUUAGAGGUAUUGACCCCUUUAGUGACGAAGCUAACGCGUUAAGUAUCCCGCCUGGGGAGUACGGUCGCAAGAUUAAAACUCAAAGAAAUUGACGGGGGCCCGCACAAGCGGUGGAGCAUGUGGUUUAAUUCGAUGCAACGCGAAGAACCUUACCUAGGCUUGACAUGUACUGGAAGACUGGCAGAAAUGUCGUCGCUCGCAAGAGUCGGUACACAGGUGCUGCACGGCCGUCGUCAGCU